GCUGUGCUUAUUCUGAAGGUUUCUGAAGGCUUCAGGGAGGUUGAAACAAAUAAAUAAACAACCCUGCUGUGUUUGCAGUAAAGAAAUGAGAUGACAUCUCCCCAGCUGCCUGCUCUGCUCCUCUGCUUGGCUCCAGCCUCCAGGUGCUGGAGUGAUGCUGCAGGUGGAAGUGGGCUCACACUGACCAAGGGGACUGUGCAUCCUGCUGUCCUGGGGAGGGCUCCUGGGGAGGUUGUCUUGGUUGGCUGUGCCUGUCCCAUGGAGACUCAUUUCCCCACCAGAGAAGAAAGGAGAGCACCCAGGGAAAGUUGUUGGCCUGGCAGAGCUUGCCAGCUGGGCUGAAAAGAUGCAAUCAAGCCAGUCUUUGAUCUCAGACACUGUUAAAGCAAGCAGAUGGAAAUUAUCCUUUCAGGGGAAGCUGGGAGUUAAAGGAGACUAACUAUAGAUAUCUCCAUUUCAAGCUCACCUGCUGGCCAGAGCCAGCAAAUGAGGAUAUUUGCAAGGACAACACUGAGGCCUGAGUUAAAAUCCUUCCCAGUAAAUCAAGGGGUUCCUGCUGGCAUCCACAAUCUCUUCAUCAGGGUAUAUGCAAGUGGUGGUGAUAUAUGAUGUGCUCUAGAUUUAGGUGAAAUCAGUGGUUUCAGUGGCACUUUGGAGUGCACCUUGUUCUCUAUGGCUGAAAUUUGUGUUUUUUGUUUCUUUAUGUGUACAUGUGCACAGAUGCUGUUGCAUGUCUCAACACUGUUUAAACUAAAGAAUCUGGGUCCAGUUAAAAAUGCUUUGAAAUUGAACAGACACGUUCUGUAUGUAGCUCAAUCCUUAUUUUAAAUUUUAAUAGUUUUUCAAAUGGUUAAAAGAAAGAGAAAACAUUUUCAUUACCAUGGUCUGAAAAGGAAAAAGUAAUCUCUUGAUCUAAAGAGAAGCAAACAGAUUAUUAUCAAAAUCCAAUAAUGAGUGGGUACAAAGAGCUGAUUUUCAUCUCUUCUGCCUUUUUAAAUGAAAAUUAUUUUUGCCUGAGUUCAGUCACAGACACUUCUACAAAAGGAAGGACAAAGGGGUCAAGCUGAGGACAAAGGACUGAGAGUGUCAUGGGGAGCAAUCCCUGAAGCAGCAGAAGCACUUGAGGUGCUCUUGUGACAAGGAAAGCCUUCAGGAUUGGUAAACUUGCAGGGCAGGGUUCAAACUCAGGCAGGAGCUAAGGACAGAUUUGCAAACAGAGCAAGCAAGAGAUAUUGGCAGCUCCAGGAGGGGUAAGGGCAAGGGAGGGUAUGGGCAGUGUAGGACUGGAAUGACCCAAGGGAUGCUUGUGUCCUUCUGUCUGGAGAUGCUUGGAGCAGCAGAGGCUGCCAGCUCACCCAGGGCUGCCAGCUCAGAUCUAAGGUCCUGAGAUCUACCAUGCCUGGAUUACUUUGUCAUAAGCCAUCACUGAGGAGCCUCAGGAGCUGAAAUUGGAUUGGCAUUUUGUCUUUAGUGAUAUUGCAGAGUUGCCAUCCUUAUGCAUGUGAAGAUGUCUGGGACUUGGGACGUGGAGGAUGUGCAAGAGAAAGUAAAAAUAGUUCCUAAAGAACAAAAUGGCUGGAUUUUAGGUUGGACUUCAAGAUGGUUUUCCAUGAUGGUGUUUGUAACUAAUUGAUGUUUUUAGCUGAGAGAUCAGUCAAGAGCCAGGUGGAAGCCUGCCCAUGUCAUUGAACAGUCCUUGGCAGGGCAUUUUAUUUUUCCUUAGUCUGAUUUCUAUAUGCUGUAGAGGAAAAGAUUUCCAGUGGAGCAAGAAGGGACUUAAAAAAAAAAAGCCCUCUGAGUGCCAAAUCUAUCAUCUGCUUUAUUAGUAUGUCAUUUGCUGUGUUUACUGAAAGCUCCAGUCAUGCUGGGAGUUAUCCAUCCGAUCCAUGUGCUGUGGCUCUUCUUCUGACUAAAUGUGAUUUUUAUCAGCUCUGUUUGCAAGAUGGAAAAAUCAUGCAACUUCUGCUGAAGCCUUUACUUUGAGUGUCUCAGUCAGGGUACUGGAAAUACCAGUUCUGAGAGGAUCUUCAGGAUAAAAGGGAAAUACAAAUUUUGUCUUUAGGGUGAGAGAAAAACAGAGCUGUUAGAGCUGCAGGUAGUAUAGUUUUUACAUUUUGUUCAGAAAUAUUAACUAAGAGUUUAGACAUAAGAGGAUAAUGGUAUGGGAGAGAGCUCCAUCUUCAACAGACUGAAAACAUGUCUGUAUUGUGAUGGAAAGAAUCAGUUUGAGAAAACAACAGGCUUUGAGAGUAACUUCAGCUGCAUUCCAUUGUCAUGACCCCCUCAAGCACGUAGAAGAGGGAAGAAUGAAAUACCCAGCUCCUCAUCCAUAAUCUAACUGCAAUAAGAGUAACAUGGGGAAUUUUUGUGCAAGAAAGUGAUAGCUUGUUUUAUUUUUUCAUCUGCGUUACUCCAAACUUUAGUAUUCAAAGAGUGUCUUUCAACUUCAAGACAGAUUGGGCUGCAACCUACUUAAGGCAGGAGUUUAUGCAAGACAGUAUGUGUGAGAUGAGCCCAUCAGUGCUGUCCUUAUAAAUGUGAAUCCCACUUAUAGAAGGGAAUAUUGAUCAGCCACUCCACCAGCUGUGGCAGAUCUACCCCAUGGACAAACACUGCAAGGCUUCUUCCUUGCAUGCUCAGUUUUGUGCUAGCUCAGGUUAACCCCAGGAUCUUCACCUGGGCUGUACAACCUUUACUGCACUGCUUCCCUUCUGUUUGCUGUCUGUGGGUUUGGGCACUUAAAUUUGUUAAAUACCUGACAAGGCAAUAACCUUGGCAAUCUCGCCAUCCAAACCUUUUUAACAGAAAAGCUCUUUAUUCUGUGUGUUAUCUCCUUUUUCUUCCAGACAGAAGCACUGCCUAAGAAUUUCUUGUUUCAUGUCUCUGUACUUACCAUUAUGACUUCUUAAAUCUUCCACUUCUGCCAAUUAAAUCGAGGUUUAUGUGUACAGCUGGUACAAUGCUCUGGGUGCUGCAAUCAAAUCCUUUUUCUUCAUGAGAAUGAAUUAUAUUUUCAUCCUUAUUUUUGUGUAGUGCUUAGACUUGUCACAGAAAGAAGCUGACAGGCAGAGGGCACUUUGCUGCUGUGUUUUUCUGGCUGUAAUUGAAUUAUGUCCUUAUGAAGUAACUGAUGGAAAAGAAUCUGUGCUCCUUGUAAUCAACAGGUGUAAUACUGAGUGUGUCUCAUGGAUGGUAUCUCCACAAACAGAUUGUAGGCAUUGGGGGGUUCUUUUGUGGUGCUUUUAUAUAAUCUCAUGUUAAUAGCAUCUC